GGAAAAGAGGCGUCCGGGAAUAGAAAGGGACUGAUAAGGACAGAGAGAAACAAGUCAGAGAAUAAAUCAUGUACUCUUCAGGGUCCUGAUACUUAUGAACGCUCAAUCCCACAGAAAAACAACAAAGGGAAAGAAAAGGUGAAGUAUCCAGUGGGGAGGGAAAUACUGAAAAAGUAGUCGGUUGACUUCCCUAUAAAAUUCCAUCAAUGCCCCUAUAGUUUUCAGUGCUUUAGAUUUUACUGUUUCAUAUGUCAUUUCCAUGAAAGGGUUUCCACUAAUAAGAACAUCCAGAUAUCUAAAAAUGCGGGUUUGGUUUGUUCUAUGGCUUGCUGGUCUAAGAACCAUGUAUGCCUACCAAAAACCACAAUAUUGGUCUUAGUUUAUGGAUAAACAUCCCUGCUUGCAAUACACACUAAGCACGUUCAAUAGAUUUUUGAAGACCCAGACGCGGGAGGGAGAGAAACACCAGAUUAUGAAUUUCAGUAGGGACAAAUAUAAGGUGCUACACUUAGGCAGGAAGAACCAGAUGCAAACAUCUAGGAUGGUGGAUACUUGGCUUACUAGCAGUACAUGUGAAAAGGAUCUAGGGCAGGCAUGUCCAAAGUCCGUUUCAGGGGCCUAAUCUGGCCCACUGGUCAGUUUAAUCCAGCCCCUGUGGAAGUUUAUUUUCUGGGGUAAAAUCCUAAAAAAAUCUCUCUCUGGCCGUCUUUGAAAAAAGUUAGGACACCCCUGAGGUCUUGGUGGACCACAAGCUUAACACACUAUUCUAGGCUGCAUCAACAGAAGCCUAGUGUCCAGAUUAAAGGAAGUAAUAGUACUACUCUAUUCUGCCUUCGUCAGACCACACCUGGAAUACUUUGUCCAAUUCUGGGCACCACAGUUUAAGAAGGAUGUUGACAAGCUGGAACAUGUGCAUAGGAGGGCAACCAAGAUGAUCAAAGGUCUGGAAACAAAGCCUUAUGAGGAACAGUUGAAGGAGCUGGGUAUAUUUAGCCUGGAAAAGAGGAGGCUGAGAGAUAAUAGCCAUUUUCAAAUAUCUUAAGGGCUGUCACAUGGAAGAGGGAACGUACUUGUUUUCUCCUGCUCUAGAGGGUAGGACUUUCUGACAUUAAGAGCUGUUCAGCAGCGGAAUGGGCUUCCACAAGAGCGGGUAGACUCUCCUUCCUUGGAGGUUUUUAAGCAGAGGUUGGAUGGCCAUCUGUCAUGGAUGCUUUAGCUGAAAUUCUUGCAUUGCAGAGGGUUGGACUAGAUGACCGCUGGGUCCCUUCCGGUUCUAAGAUUCUAUGAUCUGCAUACACCAGAAUACUGAUAUUUGGGGUAUGUUAAAAAGGGGGUGUAUGGGGUGGUACCUCUGGUGGGGGACACUCAUGCUCCUUCUCAGGUAGUUGGUCCAAUUUUGGUCCCCAGCUUGCACUCAGCUCUCACCUGUGGCUCCUAGAAACUGCCAGCAGGCGACAGCAGUCACACCCUGCGAAACGGCUUCGACUGGCUGGCUAAACCAGGUGAGGGUAGCUGAUGGGUCUCAAACCCAUGGUGAGUUAGGGACUUUCCCUGCAUGCGAAGACGGGCUCUGGUAGAUUGAACAGACAGGAUCACGAGUGGGUCCAGCAGUUGAAAAGGCGCUUUCUAUUGCAGAGGGAAGUGAGGGGCAGAUGGGGCUCACCCAGCUGGAAAAGUGAGCCCAUCUAGAAGGAAAAGUCUGAUCCUUAACCUCCACUGCCUUGCAGGGUAUCUUCAGGAGAGGAAAAGGCUACACAAAUCCAGAGUGGAGUUCGUAAGAUGAUGCCUCGUAUGCUUUCUUCCAGAAACUCCUGUAGCCAAGCUGGU